AGGGCACACGGUGGAUGCCUUGGCGUUAGGAGCCGAAGAAGGACGCAGCGAACUGCGAUAAGCCUCGGGGAGUGGUAAGCACACUUUGAUCCGGGGAUCUCCGAAUGGGGAAACCCACCAUCUGUAAUGGGAUGGUAUCCUUCACUGAAUACAUAGGUGAUGAGAGGGCAGACCCGGUGAACUGAAACAUCUAAGUAGCCGGAGGAAGAGAAAACAAUAGUGAUUCCGUCAGUAGUGGCGAGCGAACGCGGAAGAGCCUAAACCGUAGGAUUUAUCCUACGGGGUUGUGGGGCGUUUCAUAUAGGAGUUACAAAAGACAGAUGUAGGUGAACAGUUUGGGAAGACUGACCAAAGAGCGUGAUAGUCGCGUAACCCAAACAUCUGUCUCUCCGAGACCAACCCCGAGUAGCGCGGGACACGUGAAAUCCCGUGUGAAUCUGGCAGGACCAUCUGCUAAGGCUAAAUACUACCUAAGGACCGAUAGUGAACCAGUACCGUGAGGGAAAGGUGAAAAGCACCCCGGGAGGGGAGUGAAAUAGUACCUGAAAACCGUGUGCUUACAAAUAGUCGGAGCACUUUCUAUGUGUGACGGCGUGCCUUUUGUAGAAUGAACCGGCGAGUUACGAUAGCGUGCGAGGUUAAGUCGAAGAGACGGAGCCGUAGCGAAAGCGAGUCUGAAUAGGGCGAAAGUACGUUGUCGUAGACCCGAAACCGUGUGAUCUAGCCAUGUCCAGGGUGAAGGUAGGGUAACACCUACUGGAGGCCCGAACCCACGCACGUUGAAAAGUGCGGGGAUGAGGUGUGGCUAGCGGUGAAAUUCCAAUCGAACUCGGAGAUAGCUGGUUCUCCCCGAAAUAGCUUUAGGGCUAGCCUCGGAAUAAAGAGUCUUGGAGGUAGAGCACUGAUUGGACUAGGGGCCCUCAUCGGGUUACCGAAUUCAGUCAAACUCCGAAUGCCAAGUACUUAUGUCCGGGAGUCAGACGGUGAGUGCUAAGAUCCAUCGUCAAAAGGGAAACAGCCCAGACCAUCAGCUAAGGCCCCCAAGUGUAUGUUAAGUGGGAAACGAUGUGGAGUUGCCCAGACAACCAGGAUGUUGGCUUAGAAGCAGCCACCAUUUAAAGAGUGCGUAAUAGCUCACUGGUCGAGUGACUCUGCGCGGAAAAUGUAACGGGGCUAAACAUACCGCCGAAGCUAUGGCAGUCCUUAGGGACUGGGUAGGGGAGCGUUCCAAGCAGCAGUGAAGCCGUAUCGUGAGGAGCGGUGGAGCGCUUGGAAGUGAGAAUGCCGGUGUAAGUAGCGAAAAGACAAGUGAGAAUCUUGUCCACCGAAAGCCUAAGGUUUCCUGGGGAAGGCUCGUCCUCCCAGGGUUAGUCGGGACCUAAGCUGAGGCCGAAAGGCGUAGGCGAUGGACAACUGGUUGAUAUUCCAGUACCACCUCUGUUCCGCUUGAGCAAUGGCGUGACGCAGGAGGAUAGGGUGAGCGGCCUAUUGGAUGGCCGUCUAAGCAGUAAGUGUGGUGUGUAGGCAAAUCCGCACACCAUCAAGCACAAGCUGUGAUGGCGAGGGAAAUAUAAGUACCGAAGUCCCUGAUUUCACACUGCCAAGAAAAGCGUCUAGCGAGGAACAAGGUGCCCGUACCGCAAACCGACACAGGUAGGCGAGGAGAGAAUCCUAAGGUGCGCGGGAUAACUCUUGCUAAGGAACUCGGCAAAAUGGCCCCGUAACUUCGGGAGAAGGGGCGCCUCGGUAGGGUUUAUAGCCCGAGGAGGCCGCAGUGAAAAGGCCCAAGCGACUGUUUAGCAAAAACACAGGUCUCUGCGAAGCCGCAAGGCGAAGUAUAGGGGCUGACGCCUGCCCGGUGCUGGAAGGUUAAGGGGAUGAGUUAGCGCAAGCGAAGCUUUGAACCGAAGCCCCAGUAAACGGCGGCCGUAACUAUAACGGUCCUAAGGUAGCGAAAUUCCUUGUCGGGUAAGUUCCGACCCGCACGAAAGGCGUAACGACUUGGGCGCUGUCUCGGCAAGAGACCCGGUGAAAUCAUAAUACCUGUGAAGAUGCAGGUUACCCGCGACAAGACGGAAAGACCCCAUGGAGCUUUACUGUAGCCUGGUAUUGAAACUUUGUGCAUCAUGUACAGAAUAGGUGGGAAGCUGUGAAGCGAGGGCGCCAGCCUUCGUGGAGCUGUCGUUGGGAUACCACCCUUGAUGUACGGAGUUUCUAACUUGCCGCCCUUAUCGGGUGGAAGGACCAUGCCAGGUGGGCAGUUUGACUGGGGCGGUCGCCUCCUAAAGAGUAACGGAGGCGCCCAAAGGUUCCCUCAGAAUGGUCGGAAAUCAUUCGUAGAGUGUAAAGGCACAAGGGAGCUUGACUGCGAGACCUACAAGUCGAGCAGGGACGAAAGUCGGGCUUAGUGAUCCGGUGGUUCCGCAUGGAAGGGCCAUCGCUCAACGGAUAAAAGCUACCCUGGGGAUAACAGGCUUAUCUCCCCCAAGAGUCCACAUCGACGGGGAGGUUUGGCACCUCGAUGUCGGCUCAUCGCAUCCUGGGGCUGAAGUAGGUCCCAAGGGUUGGGCUGUUCGCCCAUUAAAGCGGUACGCGAGCUGGGUUCAGAACGUCGUGAGACAGUUCGGUCCCUAUCUGUCGCGGGCGUAGGAAGUUUGAGGAGAGCUGUCCUUAGUACGAGAGGACCGGGAUGGACGCACCUCUGGUGCACCAGUUGUCACGCCAGUGGCACAGCUGGGUAGCUAUGUGCGGACGGGAUAAGCGCUGAAAGCAUCUAAGCGUGAAGCCCCCUUCAAGAUGAGACUUCCCAUAGCGCAAGCUAGUAAGACCCCUUAUAGACGAUGAGGUUGAUAGGUUCGGUGUGGAAGUGCAGUAAUGCAUGGAGCUGACGAAUACUAAUCGGUCGAGGACUUAUCC
rnacentral:rRNA from 1 species